rnacentral:rRNA from 1 species
AUUGAACGCUGGCGGCAGGCCUAACACAUGCAAGUCGAGCGGUAGCACAGAGAGCUUGCUCUCGGGUGACGAGCGGCGGACGGGUGAGUAAUGUCUGGGAAACUGCCUGAUGGAGGGGGAUAACUACUGGAAACGGUAGCUAAUACCGCAUAACGUCGCAAGACCAAAGUGGGGGACCUUCGGGCCUCAUGCCAUCAGAUGUGCCCAGAUGGGAUUAGCUGGUAGGUGGGGUAACGGCUCACCUAGGCGACGAUCCCUAGCUGGUCUGAGAGGAUGACCGGCCACACUGGAACUGAGACACGGUCCAGACUCCUACGGGAGGCAGCAGUGGGGAAUAUUGGACAAUGGGCGCAAGCCUGAUGCAGACAUGACGCGUGUGUGAAGAAGGCCUUCGGGUUGUAAAGCACUUUCAGCGGGGAGGAAGGCGAUAAGGUUAAUAACCUUGUCGAUUGACGUUACCCGCAGAAGAAGCACCGGCUAACUCCGUGCCAGCAGCCGCGGUAAUAC